UAGAUGGAAAGAGGUUGCCGACGUAUGA
rnacentral:piRNA from 1 species